GAUGAAGAACGCAGCGAAAUGCGAUAAGCAAUGUGAAUUGCAGAACUCAGUGAAUCAUCGAAUCUUUGAACGCACAUUGCGCCCCCUGGCAUUCCGGGGGGCAUGCCUGUCCGAGCGUCAUUUCUGCCCUCCAGCCCGGCUGGGUGUUGGGCGCUGUCCCCCCGGGGACACGCCCCAAAGGCAGUGGCGGCGCCGCGUCGGGUCCUCGAGCGUAUGGGGCUUUGUCACCCGCUCGGGACGGACUCGUCGGCGCUGGUCUUCCUCCAGGCGACCCUUCGGGGCUCGUCUUCCUUCGGUUGACCUCGGAUCAGGUAGGGUUACCCGCUGAACUUAAGCAUAUCAAUAAGCGGAGGA
rnacentral:misc_RNA from 1 species